GGUAUAGACCCGAAACCCGGUGAUCUAGCCAUGGGCAGGUUGAAGGUUGGGUAACACUAACUGGAGGACCGAACCGACUAAUGUUGAAAAAUUAGCGGAUGACCUGUGGCUGGGGGUGAAAGGCCAAUCAAACCGGGAGAUAGCUGGUUCUCCCCGAAAGCUAUUUAGGUAGCGCCUCGUGAAUUCAUCUCCGGGGGUAGAGCACUGUUUCGGCUAGGGGGCCAUCCCGGCUUACCAACCCGAUGCAAACUGCGAAUACCGGAGAAUGUUAUCACGGGAGACACACGGCGGGUGCUAACGUCCGUCGUGAAGAGGGAAACAACCCAGACCGCCAGCUAAGGUCCCAAAGUCAUGGUUAAGUGGGAAACGAUGUGGGAAGGCCCAGACAGCCAGGAUGUUGGCUUAGAAGCAGCCAUCAUUUAAAGAAAGCGUAAUAGCUCACUGGUCGAGUCGGCCUGCGCGGAAGAUGUAACGGGGCUAAACCAUGCACCGAAGCUGCGGCAGCGAACGUAUCACCCAAGACAACUUUACGGAGUUGACGAUUGACGGAGCGAAGCGACGUCAAAGCGUUCAUUAAAGUCGAGUUGGCUUAGGGAUACGUUCGUUGGGUAGGGGAGCGUUCUGUAAGCCUGUGAAGGUGUGUCGUGAGGCAUGCUGGAGGUAUCAGAAGUGCGAAUGCUGACAUAAGUAACGAUAAAGCGGGUGAAAAGCCCGCUCGCCGGAAGACCAAGGGUUCCUGUCCAACGUUAAUCGGGGCAGGGUGAGUCGACCCCUAAGGCGAGGCCGAAAGGCGUAGUCGAUGGGAAACGGGUUAAUAUUCCCGUACUUGGUGUUACUGCGAAGGGGGGACGGAGAAGGCUAUGUUGGCCGGGCGACGGUUGUCCCGGUUUAAGCGUGUAGGUGUGUGUUCCAGGUAAAUCCGGUU
rnacentral:rRNA from 1 species